rnacentral:rRNA from 1 species
UACGAAGGGGGCUAGCGUUGCUCGGAAUCACUGGGCGUAAAGGGCUCGUAGGUGGCCAACUAAGUCGGACGUGAAAUCCCUCAGCUUAACUGGGGAACUGCGUCCGAUACUGGAUGGCUCGAGUUUGGGAGAGGGAUGCGGAAUUCCAGGUGUAGCGGUGAAAUGCGUAGAUAUCUGGAGGAACACCGGUGGCGAAGGCGGCAUCCUGGACCAACACUGACACUGAGGAGCGAAAGCCAGGGGAGCAAACGGG